rnacentral:misc_RNA from 1 species
AAUAUCAAUUCUAAAUAAUAUUUAAUCACAUCUUGAUUAGACUAUACUUUGUUUAUAUAUCGUUAUAUCAAUAAAUAAUAAUACAAAAUUCCGCAAAACAACCCUUACAUUUCCUCAUUCACUAACAAACGCACGAUUACCUUUUAAAUAAUAUAUUUCAGCCAUAAUAAAAAAA